rnacentral:sRNA from 1 species
GCCGGGUGUGGUGGUGCAUGCCUGUAAUCCCAGCAGUUUGGGAGGCUGAGGCAGGAGGAGCAACAGUUCAAAGCCAGCCUCAG